GACGAACGCUGGCGGCGUGCUUAACACAUGCAAGUCGAACGGAAAGGCCCUGCUUUUGUUGGGUUCUCGAUUGGCGAACGGGUGAGUAACACGUGAGUAACCUGUCCUUGACUUUGGGAUAACUUCAGGAAACUGGGGCUAAUACCGGGUAGGAGCUCCUGCUGCAUGGGGUUGGUUGGAAAGUGUCGGCGGUUGGGGAUGGACUCGAGGCUUAUCAGCUUGUUGGUGGGGUAGUUGCGUACCAAGGCUUUGACGGGUAGCCGGCCUGAGAGGGUGAACGGCCACAAUGGGACUGAGAUACGGCCCAGACUCCUACGGGAGGCAGCAGUGGGGAGUAUUGCAGAAUGGGCGGAAGCCUGAUGCAGAAACGCCGCGUGCGGGAUGACGGCCUUCGGGUUGUAAACCGAUUUCGCCUGUGACGAAGCGUGAGUGACGGUAAUGGGUAAAGAAGCACCGGCUAACUACGUG
rnacentral:rRNA from 1 species